rnacentral:rRNA from 1 species
CUGGCGGCGUGCGUAACACAUGCAAGUUGGACGACGGUGCCAUGAAGUGGUAACGCGGAGUGGUAUACGGAGUAGCGGACGGGUGAGUACAACAUGAGAAGCUGUCCUUCAGCGGGGGACAACGUCUGGAAGCGGACGCUAAUACCCCAUAGGCCGAGAGGUUAAAGCAGAGAUGCGCUGGAGGAGGUGCUCGUGCCCUAUCAGCUAGUUGGUGAGGUAACGGCUCACCAAGGCGACGACGGGUAGCCGGCCUGAGAGGGUGAACGGCCACACUGGAACUGAGAUACGGUCCAGACUCCUACGGGAGGCAGCAGUGGGGAAUAUUGGGCAAUGGGAGGAAUCCUGACCCAGCGACGCCGCGUGAACGAAGACGGCCUUCGGGUUGUAAAGUUCUUUUAUGUGGGAAGAAUGAAGUGACGGUACCACAUGAAUAAGCCCCGGCUAACUACGUGCCAGCAGCCGCGGUAAUACGUAGGGGGCGAGCGUUGUCCGGAAUUACUGGGCGUAAAGGGCACGCAGGCUGUGAUUCAAGUCAGCUGUAAAAGGAUGCGGCUUAACCGUGUUUAGCAGUUGAAACUGGAUGACUGGAGUGCUGGAGAGGCAAGUGGAAUUCCCAGUGUAGCGGUGAAAUGCGUAGAUAUUGGGAAGAACAUCGGUGGCGAAGGCGACUUGCUGGACGGUAACUGACGCUGAGGUGCGAAAGCCAGGGUAGCGAACGGGAUUAGAUACCCCGGUAGUCCUGGCCGUAAACGAUGAAUGCUAGGUGUGCGAGCAGAGAUGUUGGUGUGCCGCAGUUAACGCGAUAAGCAUUCCGCCUGGGGAGUACGGUCGCAAGAUUGAAACUCAAAGGAAUUGACGGGGGCCCGCACAAGCGGUGGAGCACGUGGUUUAAUUCGAUGCAAACCGAAGAACCUUACCUGGGUUUGACAUGUAUGUGGUAGGAGAUGGAAACAUUGACGACGCUGCUUUCGGGCAGUGAGCAUACACAGGUGCUGCAUGGCUGUCGUCAGCUCGUGUCGUGAGAUGUUGGGUUAAGUCCCGCAACG